rnacentral:sRNA from 1 species
CUGAAAUUGAUGCAAGAAAAAGAAACUGGACUUAAUGUGUUCUUAUUGGAUAUGUGUAGGAAAAGGUAAAUUUUCUAAUCUUUAUUAAACAAUUGUUGGAGUUAAAUAUCAACCAUGACAAACUAGAGAAACCUGUGAAAUGCUAACAGCCAUUUGCAUUUGUGAAUUUUAGUUUAUACAUUGAAACGGGAAGAACAAAACUAGAGGAAAAUAUAUUUACUCCAUGUAUAUCUAAUUAUUUUAACUCUUCAUAUUUGCUAUAGAACACAAAUGAAGAACUAAAGGGCAUGGGCAUUUACUCAUACUACAGGGGAUUCAACUCUCCAGAAUGCCUUUCGAUGACUUUAAUAAUCACUAUAGUUAUUCCCUCAGGAAUUAACAAAACCAACACCCAUGGAGUUGGGAUUUCUGCUCACUAGUCAGUCCUGGUCUUCCAGACACGGAAUGAGUAGCCGAAGCAGAUGUUUGGAGGUUUGGAUCCCAUUUGUCUGCCAUUGCCUUUCUAAGGAGUAGAACCAAUGACUAUUCCUCUAGAUUUACUAUUUUUUGCUUGCUCAGCAUUUACCAAUCAAAAUCCAAUGCCAGAGUUCAAAUGCAACUCUAGUUUUAAAGCUAACAAGGAGUUAGUGGGUUAUUUUGGGUAGAUAUGUAGCUACCUAGAUGAAAAAUUUUGAAUCUAUAAUUUUAAAUUAUGUAUUCUAAAAAACUGUUGUAUUUUCUCAUUAUUUAUACCCUUUUAAGAAUGCUCUUUAACUUUUCAUACUUCUAUCUGCCCUUCUCCGCCUCCCUUAAAUAGAAAUGACUACGAUGAUACCAUUCCAAUCUUGGAUGCACUAAAAGUCACCGCCAAUAUUGUGUUUGGAUAUGCCACGUAAGAACAUUUUAUGUUUACGUUGAAGUUUCCUUUAUUGUUUGAUGUCUUUUUGUUUUUGCUUUUUAGGAGCAGGGGUCUUAACUCUGUCACCCAGGCUGGAGUGCAGAGGCACCAUCAUAUAGCUCACUGCUCCUGGGCUCAAGCGAUCCUCCUGCCUCAGCCUUCUGAGUUGCUGGGAUUACAGGUGUCAAGGAGCAGAAGCUUUUGAAAUCCAGCAUUCUGGAUUGGCAAAUGGAAUCUUUAUGAAAUUUUUAAAAGAUAGAUUAUUAGAAGAUAAGAAAAUCACUGUGUUACUGGAUGAAGUUGCAGAAGAUAUGGGUAAGUGUCACCUUACCAAAGGCAAACAGGCUCUAGAGAUUCGAAGUAGUUUAUCUGAGAAGAGAGCACUUACUGAUCCAAUACAGGGAACAGAAUAUUCUGCUGAAUCUCUUGUGCGGAAUCUACAGUGGGCCAAGGCUCAUGAACUUCCAGAAAGUAUGUGUCUUAAGUUUGACUGUGGUGUUCAGAUUCAAUUAGGAUUUGCAGCUGAGUUUUCCAAUGUCAUGAUCAUCUAUACAAGUAUAGUUUACAAACCAUCGGAGAUAAUAAUGUGUGAUGCCUAUGUUACUGAUUUUCCACUUGAUCUAGAUAUUGAUCCAAAAGAUGCAAAUAAAGGCACACCUGAAGAAACUGGCAGCUACUUGGUAUCAAAGGAUCUUCCCAAGCAUUGCCUCUAUACCAGACUCAGUUCACUGCAAAAAUUAAAGGAACAUCUAGUCUUCACAGUAUGUUUAUCAUAUCAGUACUCAGGAUUGGAAGAUACUGUAGAGGACAAGCAGGAAGUGAAUGUUGGGAAACCUCUCAUUGCUAAAUUAGACAUGCAUCGAGGUUUGGGAAGGAAGACUUGCUUUCAAACUUGUCUUAUGUCUAAUGGUCCUUACCAGAAUUCUGCAGCCACCUCAGGAGGAGCAGGGCAUUAUCACUCGUUGCAAGACCCAUUCCAUGGUGUUUACCAUUCACAUCCUGGUAAUCCAAGUAAUGUUACAACAGCAGAUAGCUGUCAUUGCAGCCGGACUCCAGAUGCAUUUAUUUCAAGUUUCGCUCACCAUUCUUCAUGUCAUUUUAGUAGAAGUAAUGUGCCAGUAGAGACAACUGAUGAAAUACCAUUUAGUUUCUCUGACAGGCUCAGAAUUUCUGAAAAAUGACCUUGUUUUUGAAAGUUAGCAUAAUUUUAGAUGCCUGUGAAAUAGUACUGCACUUACAUAAAGUGAGACAUUGUGAAAAGGCAAAUUUGUAUAUGUAGAGAAAGAAUAGUAGUAACUGUUUCAUAGCAAACUUCAGGACUUUGAGAUGUUGAAAUUACAUUAUUUAAUCACAGACUUCCUCUUUCU